rnacentral:rRNA from 1 species
UACGUAGGGCGCAAGCGUUGUCCGGAAUUAUUGGGCGUAAAGAGCUCGUAGGCGGUUUGUCACGUCGGAUGUGAAAGCCCCGGGGCUUAACCCCGGGUCUGCAUUCGAUACGGGCAGACUGGAGUGUGGUAGGGGAGAUCGGAAUUCCUGGUGUAGCGGUGAAAUGCGCAGAUAUCAGGAGGAACACCGGUGGCGAAGGCGGCAUCCUGGACCGGCAUUGACGCUGAGGCGCGAAAGCUAGGGGAGCAAACAGG